UAACACAUGCAAGUCGAACGCGGAAGAAUCUCUCGGGAUUUUGAAGAAGUGGCGAACGGGUGAGGAACACGUAAGAAUCUACCUUUCGGUUGGGAUAACUUCUGGAAACGGGAGCUAAUACCCAAUAUGCUGUGGAGUGAAAGAAUUUCGCCGAAGGACGAUCUUGCGUCUGAUUAGCUAGUUGGGGUGGUAAUGGCACACCAAGGCGACGAUCAGUAGCUGGUCUGAGAGGAUGGACAGCCACAUUGGGACUGAGACACGGCCCAGACUCC
rnacentral:rRNA from 1 species